rnacentral:rRNA from 1 species
CACGUAGGGUGCGAGCGUUGUCCGGAAUUAUUGGGCGUAAAGAGCUCGUAGGCGGUGUGUCGCGUCGGCCGUGAAAACCUGCAGCUUAACUGUGGGCGUGCGGUCGAUACGGGCAUCACUGGAGUUCGGCAGGGGAGACUGGAAUUCCUGGUGUAGCGGUGAAAUGCGCAGAUAUCAGGAGGAACACCGGUGGCGAAGGCGGGUCUCUGGGCCGAUACUGAUGCUGAGGAGCGAAAGCGUGGGGAGCAAACAGG